rnacentral:rRNA from 1 species
CCUACGGGAGGCAGCAGUGGGGAAUAUUGCGCAAUGGGCGAAAGCCUGACGCAGCGACGCUGCGUGAGGGAUGAAGGUCUUCGGAUCGUAAACCUCUGUCAGCAGGGAAGAACGGUCACUGUGCUAAUCAGCAGUGACUUGACGGUACCUGCAAAGGAAGCACCGGCUAACUCCGUGCCAGCAGCCGCGGUAAUACGGAGGGUGCGAGCGUUAAUCGGAAUUACUGGGCGUAAAGCGCUCGUAGGCGGUAUGUCAAGUCAAGGGUGAAAUCCCCGCGCUCAACGUGGGAACUGCCUUUGAAACUGGCAAACUGGAGUGUGUGAGAGGAUAGUGGAAUUCCAGGUGUAGGAGUGAAAUCCGUAGAUAUCUGGAGGAACAUCAGUGGCGAAGGCGACUAUCUGGCACAUAACUGACGCUGAGGAGCGAAAGCGUGGGUAGCAAACAGGAUUAGAUACCCUGGUAGUC